rnacentral:tRNA from 1 species
CGGGGUGUAGCGCAGCUUGGUAGCGCACCUGCUUUGGGAGCAGGGGGCCGCAGGUUCAAAUCCUGUCACCCCGACCG